rnacentral:rRNA from 1 species
AACGAACGCUGGCGGCGCGCCUAACACAUGCAAGUCGAACGAGAAGCUGUAGCAAUACAGUUGUACAGUGGCGAACGGGUGAGGAAUACAUGGGUAACCUACCCUCGAGUGGGGAAUAACUAGCCGAAAGGUUAGCUAAUACCGCGUACGCCCCUUGGACUUCGGUUCAGGGAGGAAAGCGAUACCGUGGGUAUCGCGCUCUUGGAUGGGCUCAUGUCCUAUCAGCUUUGNGGUGAGGUAACGGCUCACCAAGGCUUCGACGGGUAGCUGGUCUGAGAGGACGAUCAGCCACACUGGCACUGCGACACGGGCCAGACUCCUACGGGAGGCAGCAGUAAGGAAUAUUGCGCAAUGGGCGAAAGCCUGACGCAGCGACGCCGC